GAUGAACGCUGACAGAAUGCUUAGCACAUGCAAGUCUACUUGAAGCUAACUUCGGUUAGUGGAGGGUGGCGGACGGGUGAGUAACGCGUAAAGAACUUGCCUCACAGUUUGGGACAACAUUUGGAAACGAAUGCUAAUACCGGAUAUUAUGAUACUUCUGCAUGGAAGAAUCAUGAAAGCUAUAUGCGCUGUGAGAGAGCUUUGCGUCCCAUUAGCUAGUUGGAGAGGUAACGGCUCACCAAGGCGAUGAUGGGUAGCCGGCCUGAGGGGGUGAACGGCCACAAGGGGACUGAGACACGGCCCUUACUCCUACGGGAGGCAGCAGUGGGGAAUAUUGGACAAUGGACCAAAAGUCUGAUCCAGCAAUUCUGUGUGCACGAUGAAGUUUUUCGGAAUGUAAAGUGCUUUCAGUUGGGAAGAAGCAAGUGACGGUACCAACAGAAGAAGCGACGGCUAAAUACGUGCCAGCAGCCGCGGUAAUACGUAUGUCGCAAGCGUUAUCCGGAUUUAUUGGGCGUAAAGCGCGUCUAGGUGGUUAUAUAAGUCUGAUGUGAAAAUGCGGGGCUCAACUCCGUAUUGCGUUGGAAACUGUAUGACUAGAGUACUGGAGAGGUAAGCGGAACUACAAGUGUAGAGGUGAAAUUCGUAGAUAUUUGUAGGAAUGCCGAUGGGGAAGCCAGCUUACUGGACAGAUACUGACGCUAAAGCGCGAAAGCGUGGGUAGCAAACAGG
rnacentral:rRNA from 1 species